rnacentral:lncRNA from 1 species
GCGUGUUCUUACCAACACCCCAAAGAGACACCAACUCCUCUGAACCAACCCCCCUAAAUUGGGUUCCUUUCUUUUAAUGGUCCUUCGAGCCGGAUCAGGGUGCCUUUUUUGGACUUUAAACCUUCAGAAUGCAGUAUCCGUCGUCUUAUGGGAAGAUUCCAGUCAUGUCAACGCGUCCUAAGCGCCAGUCUCAGCUACCUGUUCACCUGAGUGACUAUGUUGUUCAACCUGUUGGCUGGAGACAACCUGAACAGCCACCAGAAACCCAUGCAGUGCUGAAUGAACAAUUUACCAUAAACGGCGCACUGAGCAUGUCAUCCUAUUCAUCUUGUGCUACAAGUCCAGCCAGUCAGUAUGCAGAAAAUAAAACCAUUGAUGAAUGGAUUGCCACCAACGAAUCUCCAGCAGCCAGGAGCCAAUACGACUUUCAUCCUCAGCCAUACUCAUCAGGUCCAGCAGAGGCAAUAGCAUCUCAACGUUCCCCUUCACCUUUUCACCGACCUUGGGAGGAACCUGUUCCAAAUAGGUUUUCACAGUCACCCCCGUCCAUGGUUCCUACUCAUCCAGCUGCAAGUCCUCUGGCUACACAGUCAGUCCAGCAGUCAAGUACAUCAAACCUCAGACUUAACAGACCUCAGCAGUCCUACCUGUCACAGCCGUGUGAUCAAAGAAGAGAGGCAUCAAUAGAGGACACAUAUAGAACCUACGUUCCUCCUUCAAAGUCGUUUACCCAAUCUACACAUGAGCAAGAGCGGCCUCUGCUGGAAUCAUUGAACAGGAUGAUGAAUGAACUGCAAGUCAUUAAAGAGCAAGCAACAGCAUCGUAUGCUAGAGAGUCCGUCCCCCAAGGUCAGCUUCAGCACAACUUUUCACCCCCAUAUCCAUCUGUUACAAAUCAGCAACUUCCUGUUUAUGAGCCUCCUCCACAUCCUGUCCUUAGGAAAACCUUUCCAAAGGGUCCUCAAAGUCAGUGGUCAGCCAAUGACAAUUUACCUUAUCCUCCCUUUGGUUUUCCCCCUAGAAAUGAGCCAUAUAACAUGAUGGCUCCCCAAGUGCCUCAAACUUGUUCCAGAGAGAGAACUUAUAGGGGUCCUAUCCCUACCAUUCCAGAUUUCACCAAAAGGGACCCCAGUGAAUUCACUCGUCUCAAAAUAGCAUUGGAGAACCUUCUUCCCCCUGAUGCCACAGAGCUGUUUCGCUAUCAGGUAUUGCUAGACCAUCUCAAGUUUGAAGAAGCGCUUCUUGUGGCUGAUGCCUUCCUUAACUCAGUCACACCAUAUUCAGACACAAUGGCUGCAUUAACAGAGAAGUUUGGUCAGCCUCAGAAACUCACCCUGAAGAGAAUAACCACCGUACUGGCUGCUCCAGACAUUCGACAGGGAGACUCACAAGCUUUCCAGAAGUUUGCCUUGCAAGUUCGUGAAUUAGUUGGAAUGCUGAAGACGCUUGGACAUGAUGGCGCAGUGGAGCUUCAGUGUGGGUCUCACGUGGAACGCCUGUUGAGUAAACUUCCAUCUGAUCUGCGAUCGGAGUUUCGUAGACAGAUGUAUCGGAAAGCAGGAAGUGGAUAUGACCUCACAGACUUUUCAGAGUGGCUGCACUAUGAGGCAUGGUGCCAAGACAGUGAGGGCUCAGCAAACUUCAAGGAUCAUAAGCCUGAAGGAAGAAGGAAGUUGGAUCAAAGACAAAAUCCAAAGUCUACCUAUCUUGCAACAGUACUUCAUGAAGCUGAAGAUUCCUUCAACCAGCAUUCCUCUGAGUCAACAUCAAAGAAGCCUGACAAUUUAAGACGAAAGAAAAUAAGACAGGCUUACUGCCCCUAUUGUGACAGUGGAGAUCAU